rnacentral:rRNA from 1 species
UAGCGUUAUGAUAGAUUACCGGAGGUAGAGCACUGAAUGGGCUAGGGGCCGCGAGGUUACUGAACCCUAUCAAACUUCAAAUGCCGGAUAAUUGUUUCAUGGCAGUCAGACUGUGUGAGAUAAGUCGCAUAGUCAAAAGGGAAACAGCCCAGAUCUACAGCUAAGGUCCCAAAUGAAUACUAAGUGGAAAAUGAUGUGAAAUUGCUAAGACAACCAGGAUGUUGGCUUAGAAGCAGCCACUCAUUCAAAGAGUGCGUAAUAACUCACUGUUCGAGUGGUUUUGCGCAGAAAAUGUAACGGGGCUAAGUGUUCAACCGAAGCUUAGGCAUUGCAGUAAUGCAUUGGGUAGGGGAGCGUCGUAUGCGGGGUGAAGUCAGAGCGGAAGCACUGGUGGACUGCAUACGAGUGAGAAUGCCGGAAUAAGUAGCGAGAAUUAUGUGAGAAUCAUAAUGGCCGAAAAUCUAAGGUUUCUUGGGGAAGGUUCGUCCGCCCAAGGUUAGUCGGGAGCUAAGCUCAGGCCGAAAGGCGUAGGCGAUGCACAUACGGUAGAAAUUCCGUAACCACCGAACAUUUAAGCUAGAGGGACGCUUUCUUUAAGGUUAUCCCGGGCGAUGGUUGCCCCGGGCGUAAGGGACCGAAAUAAUAGUAGGGAAGUAGAAGGCGCGAGUGGCGAGAAAAGUCUGGCGUAUUGCUGAGGUGCCCGUACCGCAAACCGACACAGGUAGAUGGGAUGAGUAUUCUAAGGCCAACGGGAGAAGGGUUGUUAAGGAACUCGGCAAAUUGGCCCCGUAACUUCGGGAUAAGGGGCGCCUGCGAGAGCAGGCCGCAGUGAAAAGGCCCAAGCGACUGUUUAGCAAAAACACAGCUCUCUGCUAAAUCGAAAGAUGACGUAUAGGGGGUGACGCCUGCCCGGUGCUGGAAGGUUAAGGGGAGUGCUUAGCGCAAGCGAAGGUGCGAACUUAAGCCCCAGUAAACGGCGGCCGUAACUAUAACGGUCCUAAGGUAGCGAAAUUCCUUGUCAGGUAAGUUCUGACCCGCACGAAUGGCGUAACGACUUGAGAGCUGUCUCAACAACAUACCCGGCGAAAUUGAAGUACUGGUAAAGAUGCCAGUUACCCGUGAUAAGACGGAAAGACCCCAUGGAGCUUUACUGUAACUUGAUAUUGAAUUUUUGUAUUACAUGUACAGGAUAGGUGGGAGACAGAGAACUAAUGCCGCCAGGUGUUAGGGAGUCGAUGUUGGGAUACCACUCUUGUAAUAUGAAGGUUCUAACCUGCACCCGUGAAUCCGGGUGGGGGACACUGUCAGGUGGACAGUUUGACUGGGGCGGUCGCCUCCUAAAAGGUAACGGAGGCGUUCAAAGGUUGGUUCAGCACGGACGGAAAUCGUGCAACGAGUGCAAACGCAUAAACCAGCCUAACUGCGAGACCGACAAGUCGAGCAGUAACGAAAGUUGGAGUUAGUGAUCCGGCGGUAUGAGAGUGGAAUUGCCGUCGCUCAACGGAUAAAAGCUACCCUGGGGAUAACAGGCUGAUCUCCCCCAAGAGUCCACAUCGACGGGGAGGUUUGGCACCUCGAUGUCGGCUCAUCGCAUCCUGGAGCUGAAGUCGGUUCCAAGGGUUGGGCUGUUCGCCCAUUAAAGCGGUACGCGAGCUGGGUUCAGAACGUCGCGAGACAGUUCGGUCCCUAUCUAUCACGGGCGUAGGAAAUUUGAGGAGAGCUGACCUUAGUACGAGAGGACCGGGUUGGACGUACCGCUGGUGCACCUGUUGUUCUGCCAAGGGCAUAGCAGGGUAGCUAAGUACGGACGGGAUAAACGCUGAAGGCAUCUAAGCGUGAAGCCCCCUUCGAGAUAAGAUUUCCCAUAGCGUAGGCUAGU